GGUGGGAUGUCUUGAUUCAAGCUGCUUCAAUUUCUUUUUGUUAUCUUAAAACUUUUCUAAUUGCAAAAUAUGCUUCCCCCUAGAGGGAGUUCUAAACUAAAAGUUGGAUUAUCUGAGAUUUGUUUAUUAGUUAUCCAAAGUGCCUUUGACUUAUGCUAUAUAAAUCUAAAUAUUUUCAAUUUUGAGGUGCAGGAUUAUUGGAGCUUUCUUAAUUAUGACGGGCUUAUACCUUGUUGUGUGGGGAAGAACUCAAGAAACCAAGUCUGCCAAAGAGUACAUGAAAGUCCCCAUUGAGUCUGAGAAUCACCCGGAAGCAAAAAUUGGGAGUGGUUCUCUCAUGCAACAAUUGAUUCCUACACAAAAUGUUUAGAUGAUAGAGCUGAAGAAUUUAUAUGAUAGUAAAACUGUAAAAGUCCUUUAAGGGGGACCAACUAAUGCAACAUUUAUUUGUUGCAGCAACGUUAUAUGAUUUGUUUCACUAAUUCUUGCAUCCCUCUACUAUUUUUUUUUGGUCAAUAAUUUGUAAUUUAUACUUAAUUUUUUUAUAAUUAAACAACUUGUAGAAAAAUAUUAUUGUAUUUUUAUUCUUUCACACCUCACUUAUACUUUUAUUUCAUAUCUACCCAUUGUAAUAUUUAUCACUCUUUUGCUCUUAUUUCUCUUUUCGGGUGUGGGUGUAAUGAUUGUGAAUAAGUAUUAUUGUGAAAAAAGAAAGAAUAAGAGGGGCUUGGUUUUUUUGGUAAACCCAUGGUUACAAAACGAUAACCCCUUACCACAACAUGUGUUCAUUUCCAUAAAUAAGGAUAAAUUCUCAAACAUCAUACUUAAAGAACGAAGUGAGCUAACCACUACUCACACACUUUAUCUUUAAUGAAGGGCUUGGUAAGCCACUAAGGUAAAUGAAGACAGCAAGGAAUAUUAACAGAGCAACACUAAAUGACAUUCAAAUUAAGAUUUUAGUAAUCGUUGACAAAAAUAAGUACAUUCAGGCAUCUUUGAAGGAAACAUCAUUUUUCUGAAUGAAUCAAAAUCCAGUAACAUAACAUGGUUGGUUAACCAAUCAAAUAUUCAAAAUAAACUUUGAAGGCUUUGCCUCGAGGAGAUUAGUAUAAUGACCAUCGGCUUUGGGAUAACUAGGGGAAAAAAACUGUAUAAUUAUAAUUAGUUGGUUACAGGCGUGUUGGUCCAAAUUGGUGUUCUAUGGGAAAACAUGGAUUGAUUUUUAUUAAUAUUUUGACAGUAAACAUGGAGUGAUUGAGCUAUUGCAACAUGUCAGGCUUUGACUUCAAAUGCCCUUCCUUCACUUUGGGGUGAAAUGGAGUGGAUGAAAGAUUGGAUUGAGGAGUGUAGCUAAUAUUCAAUGGCGCAUCACAAUCACAUGCACGCAAGCAAUCCAAUUACUAACAGUAGAUUAUUAGAGUGUCCAUUAACACUUUUUACCAUGAAGCGACAGAAAUUAUUUAUAGAUUACUAAUAAACACGUUGCACUUUGUUUUCUUUUGUCACCACUUACAAGAAGGUAGAACUAAACAAGAUUGCAAUUAUUAUAGAUCUCUUAUCUUCCACUUCCAGACAGUUUUUGCCUCUUGCCCCUGGUCAACCAGUUCUAAACAUUGAUCUCCGAGUACCUGCUUCUCUUUUUGGCAUUGAACCAUCAGUAUUCACUAUUCAGUACCUGGGAACAAGAGAAUAUGGUAGCUGAACGAGCUAAGCUGCACUUAGCUUUAACGUUUUUGCAAUUUUGUUAUGCAGGAAACCACAUAUUUGUGAGGAUUGCACUUGAUUCAGGCGUCAGCAAGCUUGUAUUUCCUGUCUAUAGAAACAUCACUGCUCUUCUUCUUCUGGGUCCCUUAGCUUAUUUUUCAGAGAAGUAUGCACUUCAGUUCUAUACCAUAUAUAAAUGAAUUCUGUCAUGUUCCCAGUUUCAGCUAUCUUACCUUUUUCUUUUUCUUUUUUGGAUCUUAUUGUUUGCCUCUUUGCAAGGAAAGACAGGCCAUCAAUAACCAGAUAUUGUCUUGUCCAAUUUUUCCUUCUAGGACUUGUUGGGUAUGUAUGAUCUUUCCAUGAAGCUACUCCACUGUAUCAAUUAAUUGGCAAUGUUUGUGUAACUUAAAAAGUAUUAAUUUUGAUUCUUGCAGAAUAACAUUGAAAGAAGGGUUCCAUCUUUGAAGGAAACAUCAUUUUUCUGAAUGAAUCAAAAUCCAGUAACAUAACAUGGUUGGUUAACCAAUCAAAUAUUCAAAAUAAACUUUGAAGGCUUUGCCUCGAGGAGAUUAGUAUAAUGACCAUCGGCUUUGGGAUAACUAGGGGAAAAAAACUGUAUAAUUAUAAUUAGUUGGUUACAGGCGUGUUGGUCCAAAUUGGUGUUCUAUGGGAAAACAUGGAUUGAUUUUUAUUAAUAUUUUGACAGUAAACAUGGAGUGAUUGAGCUAUUGCAACAUGUCAGGCUUUGACUUCAAAUGCCCUUCCUUCACUUUGGGGUGAAAUGGAGUGGAUGAAAGAUUGGAUUGAGGAGUGUAGCUAAUAUUCAAUGGCGCAUCACAAUCACAUGCACGCAAGCAAUCCAAUUACUAACAGUAGAUUAUUAGAGUGUCCAUUAACACUUUUUACCAUGAAGCGACAGAAAUUAUUUAUAGAUUACUAAUAAACACGUUGCACUUUGUUUUCUUUUGUCACCACUUACAAGAAGGUAGAACUAAACAAGAUUGCAAUUAUUAUAGAUCUCUUAUCUUCCACUUCCAGACAGUUUUUGCCUCUUGCCCCUGGUCAACCAGUUCUAAACAUUGAUCUCCGAGUACCUGCUUCUCUUUUUGGCAUUGAACCAUCAGUAUUCACUAUUCAGUACCUGGGAACAAGAGAAUAUGGUAGCUGAACGAGCUAAGCUGCACUUAGCUUUAACGUUUUUGCAAUUUUGUUAUGCAGGAAACCACAUAUUUGUGAGGAUUGCACUUGAUUCAGGCGUCAGCAAGCUUGUAUUUCCUGUCUAUAGAAACAUCACUGCUCUUCUUCUUCUGGGUCCCUUAGCUUAUUUUUCAGAGAAGUAUGCACUUCAGUUCUAUACCAUAUAUAAAUGAAUUCUGUCAUGUUCCCAGUUUCAGCUAUCUUACCUUUUUCUUUUUCUUUUUUGGAUCUUAUUGUUUGCCUCUUUGCAAGGAAAGACAGGCCAUCAAUAACCAGAUAUUGUCUUGUCCAAUUUUUCCUUCUAGGACUUGUUGGGUAUGUAUGAUCUUUCCAUGAAGCUACUCCACUGUAUCAAUUAAUUGGCAAUGUUUGUGUAACUUAAAAAGUAUUAAUUUUGAUUCUUGCAGAAUAACAUUGAAAGAAGGGUUCUACCUUUUGGGUUUGGAUAACACUUCACCUACCUUUGCUGCUGCUAUGCAGAACUCUGUUCCAGCUCUGACCUUUCUCAUGGCUGUAGUACUCAGGCAAGCUAUAAAGUUCUUACUUUAAAUCCAUGUUUCAAAGCUCUUCUAUAAUUGAUUCCAAAGCUAAAAUUAAUUCUGAGUAUAAGUUUUUGUGAGUAGCUUACGAGUGUCAGAAUUAUUCUCGAAAAAAAAAAAGUUGGUCCAGUAAGACGCUUACAAAGUAUAUGUAGAAAUACUUAUAUGACAUUGAUCAAUUAUACGUGAAAUGCAGAUAUGAGAGUGUGCACUUCAAUAGGAUGGAUGGUCUGGCUAAGGUUCUUGGAGUCCUUGCUUCUGUUGGAGGAGCUUCAAUCAUUACCCUUUACAAGGGACCUACAAUUUAUACGCCAAAUUUAGCACUGCAUCAGGAGCAAUUCUUGUCUGUACUCAGGGAUGUCACAGCAAAAAACAUGAACAUGGGUGGCAUUUAUCUUUUUGGUCACUGCUUAUGUUGGUCUGGUUGGAUUGUGAUGCAAGCAUUUGUUCUGAAAAAUUACUCAGCUCCACUCACAGUUUCUGCGUUUACUUGCUUCUUUGGUAUUGUGCAGUUAAUAACAAUUGCAGCCUUUUUCGAGAAGGAUCCAAAAGCCUGGCAACUCAAUUUUAGUGAAGAGAUUUACAGCAUUUUGUACUCGGUUUGUAAAUCAAACUUAAUUGGGUUAAAAUUCACUAGCAUCCUUCAUUAGCAUGUUGUUCACUUCAUGUUACUAUUUCUACCUCUUUACUUAAUUUGGUGAUCCUAAUUGGUUACCUUGACAUCAAUAAAACUUAUUUCAACUAUUAGGAUCUAUUAUGUAACUAGUUUUAUGUUACCAAUUACAUGUGAAACAAAGCAUACCAAGUAUUUGAUAAAAAAAAUAGGCUUGUUUGUAUCAGGGUCUGGUGGAUUCAGGGCUGGCAGGCUGGUUACAGAUAUGGGCUAUUGGCAAGGGAGGGCCAGUGCUUGCUUCAAUUUAUCUGCCCCUACAGACAUUACUUGUUGCAUUGAUGGCAUCCAUUGUUUUUGGAGAAGAUUUCUUCUUGGGAGGGUGGGUUGUUGUGAUUCAAGCAACUUCAUUUCUUAUUUGUUAUCUUAAAACUUUUCUAAUUGCAAAAUAUGCUUCCCCCUAGAGGGAGUUCUAAACUAAAAGUUGGAUUAUCUGAGAUUUGUUUAUUAGUUAUCCAAAGUGCCUUUGACUUAUGCUAUAUAAAUCUAAAUAUUUUCAAUUUUGAGGUGCAGGAUUAUUGGAGCUUUCUUAAUUAUGACGGGCUUAUACCUUGUUGUGUGGGGAAGAACUCAAGAAACCAAGUCUGCCAAAGAGUACAUGAAAGUCCCCAUUGAGUCUGAGAAUCACCCGGAAGCAAAAAUUGGGAGUGGUUCUCUCAUGCAACAAUUGAUUCCUACACAAAAUGUUUAGAUGAUAG
rnacentral:lncRNA from 1 species